UAUGGCGACCGGCGCACGGGUGAGUAACACGUAUCCAACCUGCCGAUGACUCGGGGAUAGCCUUUCGAAAGAAAGAUUAAUACCCGAUGGCAUAGUUCUUCCGCAUGGUAGAACUAUUAAAGAAUUUCGGUCAUCGAUGGGGAUGCGUUCCAUUAGGUUGUUGGCGGGGUAACGGCCCACCAAGCCUUCGAUGGAUAGGGGUUCUGAGAGGAAGGUCCCCCACAUUGGUACUGAGACACGGACCAA
rnacentral:rRNA from 1 species